UUUGCAACAUAUCUGUCUUCUAGGAUGCAGAGACUGCACUUUAGAACUGAAUUAUCAUGUAGACUCUUACCUAGGCAAGCAGAAGAAAUGUCAUUUUAACCACCCCUUUGAUAGAAAAAACAAGGAUUGGCACAACUGUAUCAGUAAGGAAGAUUUGGCCAAUGAUUCACUCCUUCCUUACCUGCAGAUUACAUUUGAUAACUCUGUAUCAGCCACAUCAGAAGUAACAGAAAUCAAGAAGAUCCAAAGGCUCAUGAAGAAUGCACUAGCUUGACAUUUCUUCUACUCCACCUGGAAUCUUUUAUCUCUGGGGCCAGAAAGGACUAGAUAGAUAUUAUACCCAGCUGUAAAAGAAGUAUGACUCUAUUGUCUACAUUCAAAGAUCUGACGGGGAUCAAAGAGAAUGAUAGCAGGAGCAGGCAAGUGGUGAAGAGAGAGAGCUGAAGGUGUUAUCCUGACAUAAUUUGCUUCUCCUGUGUCUGGGUGUUACCUGAUCUUUUUCCACAUGCAAUAUUUGGGGUGUUAUGAUGCUUCUGAAUCCUGUUCUCUGAAACCAUAUAUCAGAUGAGAAUAAAUUAGAUAGUUUUAUUGUAACAGUUACUGCACAGACCCAGAAAAAUAUCAGUUAGUAUUUGUAUUAAAAAUUCAUGGAUGCUCAAAUAAUUUGAAAAUACCCUUCUGUCUUGUAAGAAUUAACAUAGCUAGGUCUGCUUUUACUAACAUCCUCUUUGCCAGGCUUACUUUCCACUGGGGGACUGGCAAUCAGAGCAGUGUGAUUUCAUGGAAAACUGCAUUGCAAGUUGUUGAGAGCUUGUUUGGAAUAAAUAUUUUCUAUUACACCAUAGAGGCCACAGGGUUUUCUUUACAGUCUUGCCUUUGGGACUGAGGCAACUGAGUAGCAGUUUAAAAUGACCUUAUUUUAGGAUGAUCUCACCCCAGUGCUAAAUUGCUGAUCUGACAAACCUAAAGGAUGAAACAGUCCUAGUUUCAGAGAGCUGUAUAAGGAUAUCAUAAUGGGCAGAGUGGAAAGAAUCAGCACUUAGGAAGGAGGCAGACAGUCUCUUCAUGUUGUUCUUCUGUCCUGCUUAAUAUACAGGGAUCUAACAUGCUUAGAGCUCUGGCAACCAUUCUUUUUAAAAUUGAAUGCAAGUUUCAUCUUUAUACAGAUAUUUCAGAAGAUAGGGUCAUAUAGCUACCUGGGGACAGCAGCACGACAAUUCAGAAUUCUCUUGAUCCUGGUUUUUAAAAUACCAAUGUAUGCAACAGGCUAAAAGAGUUGAAGAGUUGUUUCAUAGCCACAGGACUGUCUCAAUUUUAGGUAAAUAAUUUAGAAUUCACAGAGUCCCUCAGAGUCUGAAUAGACUUUUUGUUAUUCUUCAUUUCACAAAUUGCAUUGUUAAUUACUAUUUCAUCAGCUGUAAUUGAUUUACAGGGAAAUAAUCCAGGCCUCAGAUGUUUCUUUUUUAUUUCAUGAAGUACCUUAAUGUUACAAUAUGAUGUUUCUGCCUAGCAGAUUCUUUUCCUGUUUUUCCUAUUGCACCAAGGGAGGUAUACAGCAUGAUUUGUAAAUAUUUCUAGACUUUGUAAUUUAAAUAAGUUCGGAAUAGGAGAAGUAGGAUGAGUAUAAAAAUGUUUUAUUAACAUGUUGAGAGCCACUACCUCUUCUGAAGAAGGUGAAAUAGGUGAAACAAAAAAAAAGCUCCCAAAAACUUAGAGCUCAUAACUUUCAAAUAAAUGGCUCCCUGAGAAACUCUUCAGCCUGCUAAGUAGCAAAAAAUGGAAAUAAAAAUGUUGUUUCAAAAUGAAAAAUGCCUCAAGGAGAAAACAAACUUAUAACUAAGUGGAGGUUUGCAAUUACUAUGCCAGCUGAGCUGGUGUACUCUAAAAAUUUAGAGUCAAAUGAUAAUGAUACAGAACAGAAUACAUUAUGCUCAAAUUCCAUGAGAGUAUUCCAUAGGUAAAGCCCUGUACACACUCAGAACCACAUUUAUUUCAUUUUUACCUAUGCAUAGUCAACUGGGAGAUAUGAGAAGGGACAAAGUAUGUAUAUUACUUUUGCAGGAGCAGCUUAUUGAUCCUCGUGUCUGCCAGCCUUGAAGGCAGCCACACUUUAGUAUUAAAAAAUUCACCUUGUAAAUUCUUAGAGAGCUCUGAAAUAAUAAAACAUUGACAAAGUUGUCGGGUACAGGUUCUGCUCUUCCCUCGUCUUUUCUCUCCAACAUAUGUACCUUUCCCCCACUAGCUCCAGAUGAGGGUGGUAGCAAGACGCUAUGGAGCUAUACAGCUCACUGAUCCUACAGGCAGGAAAUCACAGCAUUUGGGAGCUGCAGUCCCUCCCUUUCGCAUUCCCCUUCACAGCUUCCAAGAGCAGUUUUGCAGAAUCUAGACCCAUGCCCAUGAAGUGCUGCAGAAUCUGGACUUUGUCACAAUCUGCAUCCAACUGCCAUAUUUGAAUUAUUUUUCUUUAAAAAGAAAAACAACAAAAGAGCCAAAGCAUAUUCUACGAGAAAAUCUAAGCAGAAACUGUACACUAUAAAGGGAAGUGCAAGACUAGUGAUUAGAGGUACUUUUCUUUACUAUGUUUGUGUAAGGUUUAAUGAAAAAAACAAAAACAGAACUUUGUACGCUGAGAAACUGCAAACAUUUAGCAUCAGCGCAUUAGAUAGCUAGGGUUACUUACACUACUUUUUAAUUUUUUUCUGAAUAGAAAGUGAGAGAGCAACAAUGCCUCCUGGAGUAUAUUUUAAUUGCAUCCAGUGUUACAGAUCUUUCCGUGUAAAAUUUUAUGAUGAACCUUUUCUUCCUAAAAAAGACUAGCAAAUAAAUGAUCUGGAAAAGCAAUGAGGUACCUAUAGGUGCUUUCCUCUGAUGUAUCAUUCUUGAAAGCUCGUUUGGGACCUUUCCCUUUUUAUCCAAGAUGCCAGCAGGUGUCUCUUUGCACUGAAAUAACCAACCUUAGAGCUCAUAACUUAGCAAAAUGGUCAAGAUAACUGCCCAGAAGCACUUCUGUGCCACCUCUUGAGAUGAUGUUGUGCAACAAUAACUUCAUUAAACUAAUUUUCGUACAGAACUUAUGGUGUCCUUGACAUAGGCUGUUUAAUUUAUUUAAUCUAGUCACAGGGUUGUUUUGACAUUGCAUUGCAGCUGAGAGGUUUUCAAAACCCUAGCAUGCAUAAGUGAAGCAAUCCUACGAAAUGUUUGAAAUGUUAAGCUUUCAGCAAUUAAUCACCAGUUUUCUGUCAGAAAAAUUCCCAGUACUUUUUGCUUUCUGCAUAUGUUCCCAAUUAUAAACCUGAAAGAAAAAUCCCCAAACUUUUAGUCAAGUCACAUCGGCACCUAGCCCUGCAGUAUGUCCUCAGAGCUGAUAAGAACAGGUCACAUUCCGUACGGCCGAGGAAGGAGUCCUGGGCAGGCAGCAUCCUGUACUGAAUGUCCCACCAGAAAUUUGUCUGUUCUGUGCAAACUCAAUUAGUGGAAUACCCUACUCCAGCAACACCUCUCAGCACACAGUACUAAAGAAGUUGUCUCAUUAGAUUUAAAAUGUGUGACUCAUAGGAACAGCUGACAUACAUUUAUUAAUCACUUUAAUGAAAGAUAGCUAUGUUCCUCCUGCCAAUGACUAAAAGCAAGUAUUAGAGUUUAUUCUAUUAGUUUGGUGAAUUUAUGUCUAUGAAAAGUUUUUAUACACAAACUAAAAUUCAAAAAUAAAAUAAUGGAAAUAACAAAAAACAUAACAUGACAGACCUAGUAUUGUUUAACACCUGGAUAUACUAUUUCCAAAAUUAUAUUGUCUUACAGUCAACUAAUUCUCAGUUUACUUAGUUUACUACAUUAUAAUAUCUAUGUCCACUGCAGUUGAAGUUAUGCUGAAGUGUUCAGUUUAAUAGGAUACUAAAAUAUUAUUUGAAGAAGGCCAUAGAAAUGAGAAAAAGGAAACAUAGCAAACCUUUCAUAGAAGUGAUUUUUCCCUGAAUACUUGAAAAAUAGAAGCAAAGGUCCUCAAAUGGUGUAUACAGAAAAUUCAAUAAGAGCUCAAAGAUCACUAUUUAGUCAGUUUUCCAAACAAUUAUCUCACUUUUCUUUGUGUCUCUUUUACUAGAAAUCUAGUUCUUUAAGAUUGUCCUUUAUCUUUUUCCUCUUGCAGCCUUUUAUUUAAGAGUAAAAAAACCUAUAGAGAAAGUAUCUCCUGGCAAAGAGACGAAGCAAAGUGUUUUAAGCCACAGAGAAAAUGAGAUAACAUGGUGGUGGGGAGGAGGGUGUUGUAUAUCGAUAAGGAUGUUACAAACACAGGAGAAUGCUUUGAAUGGCAUUACUAUCUUUAUUUUCAAAAAGAUAUUUAAAUGGCAUCUAACCCAACCCUGAAUCACCAGCUGAUCAAUAUCAGUAAUUUCUCUUCACUUGUGAAAAAUAUUAUCCCUUUUUUGCAAUGUUUAUUCUCAGAUAAUCAAUGCAGUGAUAAAAACCAUCUGGACUUUUUUUUUUGACUGAACGACAAAUAUUCUAGCAAACGAAUUGGAUUAUCACCUCGGAAAGGAAAAUCUUUUCUGAAAGAAAAUUUUAAUAGGGUAAUACUGAUCCAGGAAAUCAAAUAAGUAUGCCAUUAGGUUGUGUUGAUAUGUUUAGCUUUUCAGAAAUAUAAAAGAGAAAUUUCAGGCUGGAGAACUGUGAUCAGCAUAAGUCGGUUGAUUAGAGAAUACUUUGCUUGUUUUGUUGGAGUAUGUAGACUCAAUCUCAGCACUGCUUUAGUAUCAGAUAUUUCAAUAAGCUGCCUCUUAGGUUAAAUUGUACUUAUGUAGCCAUGGUAACAUUGUUGAUGUAGGAUUUAUGUAAAUAUAACAGAGUGGUCAGUAAAGCCAAUAAGAAAUAGGCUCCUAAUAUACUAAUCAUUAUGGCUAGGAAAUGCUUAGAAAAUUAAUAUGCACAAUAAGACAAUAGGUUUCUUUAAGGGAAUGAGCUUUUGGAGAUAUUUUGGGCAGGAAAUGGUUCACCAGACCUUCUCUUUCUGCAGUUAUCUUGAUGCAGAAUGAACUUACGUUUUCUAAGCACACAACUAGCUAAAUCACAAGUGCUUAAUUAUCCCUAUUUAAAUCUGAAACUAAGCUGGUCCAUUGGCUGUUGUGUCACCUGCUCAAGGGAAAAAAAAAGAGCGAAUAUUGGAAGGUUAAAAAAGGCGGCUCAAUUUUCCCUGAAGCCUCAUGCAGAUGGGUGGACCUGACUACCACUGCUGUGAGGAAUGAAACUUGGCCGUGCAGAAAAUGCACUCAGCCAAAUAUAUUGCAUUGUUUCAGAAUGCCAGAAAAAGGCAAGCAAACAGAAACACUGUGGUUGACUACAGUAUUAAGAGGAAGAGCUUAUUCAUACGUUUUUGUUUUAUUAUUUUUCUACUUACAGAAGUAGCAAUCAAAUGUCACUAUUUAGCCACUCCUACCGGAAAGAUUCCAGAUGUAGUUCGAAUCAACAGAAGUUUAAACGCUUAAGAUUUAAUACCCUAGCAUCAGUCAUUUACUGACUUGCUAGUCAUUACAAAUGGGUUUUUUUGGAUUAUAUUUGGAACAGCAAACAUGUAGAUUUGCUAUAAGUAGUUGUCUUAGUAACUUCUAGCACUUGCAGUCCAAGAUACAUUUUAUCUAUAAUAAUAUAAGAUGGAGAAAGAAAGAAAUAAACAAUGAAAACAAUAAAACAAAUACGUUUUUAAAGAAUUUCUAAGGAUGUAUCUCAGUCGCUUGAGUGGUAUAUUGUAUACCUGACUACUUUACUUUUUUAGAGUGAAAAAAAGAUGGAGCACAACUGGGAAAAAUUUAAGCGCUAUAUUGUCUUUGAGAAAACAAACACAACAAAUAAAUAUUGUAGGGAUAAGGAAAGUGUCUAGAGUUAGUAUUUUAUAACACUUUCUCAUUACUGCACUGGACUGUUAGUGAAACCACCCACAGUUUCAGAACUUCAUGGACACAUAAAGCUUAUUCUACUGGGACUGAAUUUAUGUAUGAGCCUUUGAAAGAUCAAGUGACUUUAGCCAUUGCUCUGAAAUCAAGUUUAGCUAAUUUCAUUUAGUUAAUUUUUGCUUUUAUUUAAUUUUUCAUUUGUAUCAAACAUAAAGAAACUGAGUCAACAGACGUAUUGCUAAAUACUUUAAAAGUGACUAGACCUGGACACAGCAUUUGGGAUGUUUUCAAGUCUUUUGUACUAAGAUUAAUUUUCUUGGCUAUGCUCUGAAUAUCAGAUAAGCAGGAAAUCUAAGUUGUUCAGAACAAGAAACAGAACUGACAAGAAACAGAAAAACCUCAUUUUGAAUUACUGCAGUCUUGCAUUUUCUUCUCAGAGUUGUUUGUUUGAUGGUAUGGAACAGCCAGCCCGAAUGGGAGCAAACAGUUGCCAAUCAUUUUCAAAAUAAGUACGCUAAAAUCUCUUCAAGUACAUCCAUAUUCUCUCCACAUCUCACUCCUUCAUCACUGUCUCCACUUUCUGGUCACUAUCCAAAGACUUUUAAGUAUGUAUUAGGUAUUAAAGCUUCUUUUUUGUCAAAAAUAUCACUGAAACAUACAUGUUUAAGAAACCACAACACUGUUCAAGAUGAAAGAUUCUUAAAUAACUAAAGGAACUGAACAUAAUCUCUCAUUUUAUUCGUCUGUGCAUGGAUUUGGAAGCCAUCCCUUCCACAUUCUCCAAAUUCUGUUCCUCUUCUUGCGCUAUUUGUGUUUUGUGCGCUGGCUAUCCUAAUAAGUGUAGUCUAAUAUCACUCAUAUUAAUCAAAAUGUACUGCCUUUAGUGAACCUCUGCGGAUCCAAUUGGUGACAAAAUUUGGCAUAAUAUAUUACGACAUGGAAAAUGUACGGUUAGAGAAGAAAUAACAAGCAUUUAAAUUGUUCUAGCUUGUCUUUAAUCCACACUUUUUUUUUCCAUAUUCCAGGUUCAUUUCAAUUAUUCUACUGAUUUCAGACAUACGACUGCUAUUCCCAUUAACUUAAUGUGUCCGUUGCUUUUCUGUAAAAGAUUUGUGAAGUGUUAUGUAUAUUUGAGGUACAAUGAAUGAUGUAUUUGCAUAUUAGUCAUUUUACUGCAUAGUCUAUGUAUACAAGAAGUACUCAUAACCGAAAAAAUGUGGAUGAAAUAUAAGUUAAUAAAUCACAGAAUAACUGUC